ACUCUGCCUCGUGCAGAGAGUGGGAGGCCGGGAAGUUGUUCAAACUUGAUCAUUUAGAGGAAGUAAAAGUCGUAACAAGGUUUCCGUAGGUGAACCUGCGGAAGGAUCAUUACCGAGUAGCUAGCUACCUACCUCCGCUGGCCGCGAGUCAGUAAGUGAGUGGGGUGUUUACUACCGUGUGAACCGACUGAAAAAUUUUUUAGGGGUCGGCUCGUUCCGUUAAAAGGGGAGCACCGUGAUGAGCCACCGGCUGGUGAGCCUCGCCUCGCGGUGGGCUCCUGCCCCGACAGUGGUUUUUUUAAGGACACAUUUGAUGUAAAAGACUGAGCGCAGUGAGAGAGAUAUGUUCUAACAUAGAAAAAUAAAAGUGUGACAACUUUUGACGGUGGAUCUCUAGGCUCACGCAUCGAUGAAGAACGCAGCCAGCUGCGAUAAGUAGUGUGAAUUGCAGAAUUCAGUGAAUCAUCGAAUCUU
rnacentral:misc_RNA from 1 species